rnacentral:rRNA from 1 species
GACGAACGCUGGCGGCGUGCUUAACACAUGCAAGUCGAGCGGUAAGGCCCUUUCGGGGGUACACGAGCGGCGAACGGGUGAGUAACACGUGGGUGACCUGCCCUCAGCUCUGGGAUAAGCCUGGGAAACCGGGUCUAAUACUGGAUAUGACUCCAUGACGCAUGUUGUGGGGUGGAAAGCCUUGUGCGGCUGAGGAUGGGCCCGCGGCCUAUCAGCUUGUUGGUGGGGUGANGGCCUACCAAGGCGACGACGGGUAGCCGGCCUGAGAGGGCGACCGGCCACACUGGGACUGAGACACGGCCCAGACUCCUACGGGAGGCAGCAGGUGGGGAAUCUUGCGCAAGUGGGCGAAAGCCUGACGCAGCGACGCCGCGUGAGGGAUGA